AGGUUACUGCUAUCGGUGUUCGCUUAAGCCAUGCGAGUCAUAUGUUCUUCGUGAACAUGGCGUACUGCUCAGUAACACGUGGAUAACCUGCCCUUGGGUCCGGCAUAACCCCGGGAAACUGGGGAUAAUUCCGGAUAACGCACAUAUGCUGGAAUGCUUUAUGCGUCAAAUGGAUUCGUUCGCCCAAGGAUGGGUCUGCGGCCUAUCAGGUAGUAGUGGGUGUAAUGUACCUACUAGCCUACGACGGGUACGGGUUGUGAGAGCAAGAGCCCGGAGAUGGAUUCUGAGACAUGAAUCCAGGCCCUACGGGGCGCAGCAGGCGCGAAAACUUUACAAUGCGGGAAACCGUGAUAAGGGGACACCGAGUGCCAGCAUCCUAUGCUGGCUGUCCGGGUGUGUAAAAUACACCUGUUAGCAAGGGCCGGGCAAGACCGGUGCCAGCCGCCGCGGUAACACCGGCGGCCCGAGUGGUGAUCGUGAUUAUUGGGUCUAAAGGGUCCGUAGCCGGUUUGGUCAGUCCUCCGGGAAAUCUGACAGCUCAACUGUUAGGCUUUCGGAGGAUACUGCCAGACUUGGAACCGGGAGAGGUAAGAGGUACUACAGGGGUAGGAGUGAAAUCUUGUAAUCCCUGUGGGACCACCUGUGGCGAAGGCGUCUUACCAGAACGGGUUCGACGGUGAGGGACGAAAGCUGGGGGCACGAACCGGAUUAGAUACCCGGGUAGUCCCAGCCGUAAACGAUGCUCGCUAUGUGUCAGGCAUGGCGCGACCGUGUCUGGUGCCGCAGGGAAGCCGUGAAGCGAGCCACCUGGGAAGUACGGCCGCAAGGCUGAAACUUAA
rnacentral:rRNA from 1 species